rnacentral:rRNA from 1 species
UAGCGUAGGGUGCAAGCGUUAUCCGGAAUUAUUGGGCGUAAAGAGCUCGUAGGCGGUUUGUCGCGUCUGCUGUGAAAACUGGAGGCUCAACCUCCAGCCUGCAGUGGGUACGGGCAGACUAGAGUGCGGUAGGGGAGAUUGGAAUUCCUGGUGUAGCGGUGGAAUGCGCAGAUAUCAGGAGGAACACCGAUGGCGAAGGCAGAUCUCUGGGCCGUAACUGACGCUGAGGAGCGAAAGCAUGGGGAGCGAACAGG